rnacentral:rRNA from 1 species
AUACGGGGGAUUCAAGCGUUAUCCGGACUUAUUGGGUUUAAAGGGUGCGUAGGCUGAUAAAUCAGUCAGCGGUGAAAUUUACGGGCUUAACUUGUAGCUUGCCGUUGAAACUAUUUAUCUAGAGAUAUUUCGGCGUAUGCGGAAUGUAUCAAGUAGCGGUGAAAUGCGUAGAUAUGCUACAGAACACCAAUCGCGAAGGCAGCAUACGAGGCAUCAUCUGACGCUGAUGCACGAAAGCGUGGGGAUCAAAUAGGAUUAGAUACCCCGGUAGUCCUAGCCGUAAACGAUGGAUACUAGGUGUGGGUGUCGCAGGGCAUCCGUGCCGCAGCUAACGCGUUAAGUAUCCCGCCUGGGGACUACGGUCGCAAGACUGAAACUCAAAUGAAUUGACGGGG